rnacentral:rRNA from 1 species
UACAGAGGUCUCAAGCGUUGUUCGGAUUCAUUGGGCGUAAAGGGUGCGUAGGUGGCGUGGUAAGUCUGGUGUGAAAUCCCGGGGCUCAACCCCCGGAACUGCACUGGAUACUGCCAUGCUUGAGUACUGGAGAGGAGAUUGGAAUUUACGGUGUAGCAGUGAAAUGCGUAGAUAUCGUAAGGAAGACCAGUGGCGAAGGCGAAUCUCUGGACAGUUACUGACACUGAGGCACGAAGGCCAGGGGAGCAAACGGG